rnacentral:rRNA from 1 species
UACGUAGGGUGCGAGCGUUAAUCGGAAUUACUGGGCGUAAAGCGUGCGCAGGCGGUUUUGUAAGCCAGAUGUGAAAUCCCCCGGGCUUAACCUGGGAAUGGCAUUUGGGACUGCAAGGCUGGAGUGCGGCAGAGGAGACUGGAAUUCCUGGUGUAGCAGUGAAAUGCGUAGAGAUCGGAAAGAACACCAACGGCGAAAGCACUCUGCUGGGCCGACACUGACACUGAGAGACGAAAGCUAGGGGAGCGAAUGGG